GCAGACACAUUCCAGCCAAUCAGCAGCAGACCCUCCCUCCCAGACCCUCUCACCUCCUGGACAGCUCACUAAGAAUGCAGCUUCACAAUGAAUGUAAAAUGGAUGCUGUCCAGGAGGUGGGAGGGUCUGGGAGGGAGGGUCUGCUGCUGAUUGGCUGGAAUGUGUCUG
rnacentral:miRNA from 1 species